UACGUAGGGGGCGAGCGUUGUCCGGAUUUAUUGGGCGUAAAGAGCGUGUAGGCGGCCAGGUAGGUCUGCUGUGAAAACUCGAGGCUCAACCUCGAGACGUCGGCGGAAACCAUCUGGCUAGAGUCCGGAAGAGGAGAGUGGAAUUCCGUGGUGUAGCGGUGAAAUGCGCAGAUAUCAGGAAGAACACCCGUGGCGAAGGCGGCUCUCUGGGACGGUACUGACGCUGAGGCGCGAAAGCCAGGGGAGCAAACGGG
rnacentral:rRNA from 1 species